AGCUGCGGGUGCGCGGCAGGGAGGGCACUGCCGCAUCGCCCUCCUUCCCUGCGCCUUCCGCCUCUGGAGAACGCUGCUGGGAAAUGGUUAUGGUGCUGCCCGAGCCGGAGCCCGGCCGGCUGGGCUGCAGGGAGCGUCCCGGCACGGCGCUCCCGGGGGGCCGCGGUAGCGCCCGGCGCGGUCUGAAAAUCAUUCGGGGUCUGCCGUGUCCCCGGGUGCCGUUCGGGGCUGCGCUGCCGCUCCCACGGCGAUCCCUUCCCCGGAGGAGCGGUGAAGAGCACGGGGCUGCCGUGAUGGACGGCGACGCGGGAGUCGCGGCUGGCAACGAUUCGUUUUUAUAUUUUAACGUGCAAUAAAAGACGGAAUGCGUAAAAGA